AGUCAGACGCUCCUCUUUAUAACAAAGAAAUUUUUUUAGUGCAAAAGUUCACUGCGUUCAUCUAGGGGGAGGAAUGAUGCUUUCGUCCAAAUCAGUAGGUAACUUGCAACACACCAACACACCACCUAAGGCAACAAAGUAAGCACAGACAUGUUUUCACAGUCGCGGAUGCAUUCUCUGUUUGACAAAGAACGCUCGGCAUUUUUCAAAGGUUUUAAUGUUCCAGUAAGCUGUGCAGGCACCCGAGUGGAGACCGUGUUCCCUGAUGGCUGAGAAUGCCAGAUUGCCAGACAGGAGCGCAAAGGCACUCCCACAACUCAGAAUUCGAUUUGGCUGUCUUCCGAGUCUCUCCUCAGGAACAACUAUUAAAGCUGUAACAAGAAAAGAUUCUGGAGGUUUCUGCAAUAACCGUGCACACAGAAUUGCCGUCUGCAGAGGUAACCCAGGAGGAGGAAGCAGCGACCCCAGGCGAUGGAAGGCAGUCCCCUCUCCCCGCUCCCCUGCCUGUGGUCACCAGGACCAUUGCCUGACCACCAAACGAAGGGCCAUGUGUUAAAGAGCAUGAAAAUGUGUCCCUGUCUGGUCUCUUCUCUUUCUGUAAGAUCAACUACGGGUCUCCUGGUGCCUCGGCCCAUAGGAAUGCCUGGGCUCCUGCAUUUCCAGAGACAGAACUGUUGGCAAGUUGCAAUUUCAGGCAGUGGCCGACAACAACAACAACAAGUAUUAUUCCCCUCCCCCAAAUUUGUUAAAUUUGUUCUAAUUUUAUCCUCCCCUUUUCUCUCCCUCCCACUCCACCUCUUCAAAUCCAAAUGCCACCGGAAAAGAAGUGCAUUCGGACUGAUCUGGAUGUAAAAUGCUCCGGGCUUUUUUGGUUACCUAGAAAAUCUUCUUUAAAAAGAAGAUCUUAUAGGUUUUUAGUUCAAAGCAGGAAAGGUCUCCUGUGCUAAGACUGGCUUCUCACGUGGAAGGGGGGUCGUUCAGAAGAUAGUAAAGGGCGAAUAUGCAAAUAGAUCCCUCAGGAAGGCACGCUGUGUCACUGCUCAGUUAGGACUGGAUGCCCCCACCAGCUGUAUCUCAGCGUCCAGUGGAUGUGACCGGGGACGCACAGGGUUGCCACCUUCCAAGUCUCCCAAACCCCCAAGGAUGGGUAUUGGAGCUUUAAAGGAGAAAAACAGCAUCCUCGGCCGCAGCGCGGACUGGGGCAGAGGCUCCCGCAGGGCGAGACGACGCCAGCGGUGCCUUGCAGGGAGCGGGAGCCCACGGGAGUCAUUGUCAUUUGGGGGGCUGCGGCCCCUCCCCUCCCCGGCCCCUGCGCCAGGGCAACAGCGAGGGGCGCCCGCAGACUCCGGAGGCACACAACGCGUUUCAGACCAGGGCACCGAGACGCACACCCUCCCCGCCAAGGAUACAGAAAUGCGGCUUCCCGCUCGCCAACUCCAGGGGCCGUGCUGCUGACUCGCCCUCCCGGCGACGGCAAUCCCUCCUCCUCGGGGGCUCCAGGCGCGGAGGCCCGGGGCCGGCGGGGCCCCAGGGCGGGCGCGGCGCAGCCACGGCCGAGGAGGGGGAUCCUUACCUGAGGGGCAGCGCAACUGCGCUCCGGGAUGGUCCCGAGCUCGCCUGGCACCGGACGGGGUAGGGCCGGCUGUGCCGCUGCGGGCUCCUCCCGAGGCGGGCGGGGCGCCGCCGCCGUGACGAUGCCGUCAGCUGCUCGCCCGCCGUGCGCCCCCCGCGCCCCGGCACCUGCGCCCCGCGCCCCCGCGCCCCAGAGUCCGCGCACCUGCGCCCCGCGCCCCCCGCGCACCUGCGCCCCGCGCCCCCCGCGCACCUGCGCCCCGCGCCCCGCGCUCCGCGCACCCCGCACCUGCGCCGCGCAGUCCGGCCUUCCUCCUCUCGCUCUCCCUCUCCAGUCACCACUUCCGAGCUGGACCAGCCGCUGCAGCGGCGGCUGCUUUUGCGUAAAUGGCGUCCGCUCGCCUCCAAAGAGCUUUUAGGUGCCACCUACUGCACGCUCCUGGAAUGGAUGGCCGGGACUGGAAUUUUCUGAGAAUUCAGUGAGUUAACACCCUUCCGUGGCAAGUGCGCCGGAUUCUUUUGUUUGGGAUCGUUCACACCGUCAGCUGCGAUCACCGCGAACCACACAGGCUUUUCUUUCCGCGUCCAGACGCUGAAUGAAAAACCACCUCGUUUCGAAGUCGGGUGAAAUAGGGCCACGCCGGUAGCCAACCACACGCUGCAGAUUAACGCGUUCUGAUUUAACAAACCCCUGGGACAAAACCACCCCGGGCGGUCUGGGGCUGGAACUGACUUUCCACCGAAUAGUUUCGCAUUAGCGUCUGGAGCAAACAACCAGCUUUGUUUUCUGACACUGAUAAACCAUCUUGUCCAAGAAGCAUUUGCCCAGAAACAGGUGAAUCAGCAAGAAACAAGAUUUGUGGCUAACAGCUCUGUGCCAACGGUUUUUAAACGCUUGCCUGUAACCCUGAUGGAAUAUUACAUUGAAACUACGGGUUCGAGGAAUAUUGCCUCGCCCUACUAAAACCCAGUCUGUUUUAAUGACAAUUUUUCCCAGAGAACUGGGCAGUGUUUUGUUGUUUUUCACGUUUGGUGUAGCUUAUAGAAUCCCAUUUCCCUGUUCCGAAACUGUCUUGAAUGUCCGUAUAGUUUCGAAUUGCCUUCUCCUUUGAUGUCAUUUCCAAAGUAAAUUUGUGCUCUAUUAUUCACAGGAAAUAUCUGUUUUUAAAAAUCUUACCUUAGGAUGAUAAUUGUAAUCGAGAAAAUUUA